AUGUGCUUGUUUAUUUGUUGUGUGUGCUUGUUUAUCUUCCAUAUGGUGCUUGAAGGUUGUGAAUGAAACCAGCUGCAAAAGCUGUAGAUGAUUUGUCAUUUGUAGUUAACCAUGGAACCCGAGGGCUCUGUAUUCACUUUUUUAUGGCUAAGUUGCUACAUAAAAAUUGAUUUCCUUUUUUGUUGUCAUUAUGCAAGUUGUUUAUGUUUCGCUGUAGUAUUGGAUUUGGGAUGAGAAAUUCUGUAUCCUGCCCAAUGAUGGAACACAUUUUAUAAUGAGCGGUUGCACUGAUUUGUUCAUAACUGGAUGUGCACCACCACAUCUUCACCAUCACCAUCACCAUCACCAUCAUCCUCAGUCUCAGUCUCAGUCUCAGUCUCAUCGCAACCUUCUACUCUCUUUCUCUCUGUCAUUCUCUUUCUAUGUGUGUGUGUGUAAAUGGUGCACGGAGAUGUGGAUAAAGCAUGCUGCGAACGCAUUAUAUGAAUUUCAUGUAGCUAUGAGAUCUGAGGGCAUCUGUAGGUUCAAAAUAUUUUCCUUCAAAUAGCCUUUGUAGAAAAAAUUUUUCAUGUAUGUGUGAAGUGCUUGGAUAAAUGAUAGUGUAAACAAGCUUGGAUUACUAUUGAGUACUUCAGUUGCAUAUUCUAUAGUUUUAGUUUGCUGCUUCUUUUUUGUGCAGGUUAGUAUAAAUAUGUUUCUGCUGUGUUAUUCUCUUUGUUGCAGGUUGAGCAACAUCCAAAUUCCAGAAUGGAUCCUUUUAUAUGUGUUUUACAAAAUGUAAACGCUAUAUUUUGCUGUCAUCUGAGCCUUUUUUAUGUGCCUAGUGAUGAAUGCUUAUUGUAAGCUGGAACUUUGAACAUAAUUCAAAGCCUUUUCAUCCCUUCUGCCUUUUUUCCCCACUGCCAUCUUGCAAAGUAUGCUGCUGCUGCUGCUGCUGUUGCUAGUACUACUACUACAUUCUUCUUCUUCUUCCUCUUCUAUGGCAGUUGUUGUUGUUGCAAUCUUCUUCUUCCUCUUCCUCCUCCUCCUCCUCCUUUUGUUGCUUUUUCUCUUAUUAUUAUUAUUGUUAUUAGAUAAUGAGAAAUGACAGUGGGAAAAAGAUGGUGGAGGCAGGCUGUGAUGACUGCCUUAAUGGAUGUUGACAAUAUCUGAGGGCACUGUUGGUGUUCAUGGUUCUUUUAUUUUUUAAAAAAAUUAUAUUUUUCCUCGUCCGAUAUAUUUAUAGGCUCAAAGACGACUAUGGUUCAUGAUAAUGCCCAAUGAUGCACAUGUCAAAAAUAUAUUGAGACAGUUAUGCUGUGAUUAAAAGUUCAUCACUUUCCUUCCCCUAUCUCUCUUCCUUUCUAUAUCUCUCUCUCAAAUGCAUACACACACACACGCACUAAAUUUGGUGUUGGUGUUAGUGCUUGCGACGAUGAUGAUGACGACGAUGAUGAAAACUCUUAUUGUGGAAGGAUUUUGAUGAACUUCACUGGCUUAGUAACUGCCUUUGAUUAUUUAUAUAUACUAUGAGAUCUGAGGGCAUUUUUCUCUCUAGUUUUUACUCAUACAUUUUUCUUAGAAAUUUUUUUGUUCUACAUGAAUAUUUGAUCCAUAUAAAUAUACAAUUCUGAGCUGCUUUGGUUCUGUUUGCGGUUGCCUGCUGCAUAGUUCAAUGACUAUAUGAGGUGGUUUAUGUGGCUUAUUAUGAUUUUUAGGGUACUUGAAUUUUCGUUUACUUACCUUAGUGGCUUAAACUUAUUAUCAUUUUACCGUGAAUUUUUUAUGUAAAACUUUUUUGAACUAGAUGACUGAUGACUGAAAAUUUGUGCUUUAACUCUGAGAUGAAAUAGUGUAACCGAUAGCAAAUUAAUUGUUUUAAACUUUUGCCCGAUGAUGGAGAAAACCACUAUUGAAUGUCUACAUGGUGUUGUUCAUAACUCGAGCUGCAUAAUUCUCUCCUUCUCUCUCUCAGUUACUUGUUUACUCUGUGUGUGCGUAGAUUGAUAGAUUGAUAGAUAGAUAAAUAUAUUGUAUCUCUUCCAAUGGUGCUUGAAGGCUGUGAAUCAAAACCGCUGCAAUAGUUGUAGAUGAAUAAUGAAUUUUAAUUAACUAUGAACCUGAGGGCUCUGGAUACCCUUUUACUGUCUAAGUAUCUUCGUGAUUUGAUUUUUGGUGCUCUUUUUUCUAUAAGUUUUGGUGCUUCUACAUGCAUUAUAAUUAAUAAUUCUCUACCCUGCCCAAUGAUGGAGGAAAUUGACUAAUGAGCGGCUGCACAGCUUAAUUCAUAACCGGAUGUAUCUCCACUGCCACCUCUAUCAUCAUCAUCAUCAUCAUCAUCAUCAUCAUCAUGACUAUCUUCUACCCUCUCUCACACACACACACACACACACACUCUCUCUCUCUCUCUCUCUUUCUCUCUGCUUCUGUCUAUGUGGGUGGAUGUGUAAAUGGUGCACGAAGGAUGUGAAUAAAGCUAGCUGCAAAAGCCGUAGAUGAAUGUCAUUUAGCUAUGAGAUCUGAGGGCAUCUCUGGGUUCAAAAUCUUCUUCCUUCAAGGAGCAUUGGUAAACUUAAUUUUUCAUUAUAGCAGAUGACAAGUAAGUGGUGUUUCUGCUUGAUGCAUUGUUCUGUUUCAUUUUUGGAUUUGGUGUGAUGCAUAUUUUAUAGUAUUUUUGACUCUAGUGAUGGUGAUUGCAAGAGGCUUUUGCCUAUGACCAUAUGUGAUAUUCCUAUACCAUCAAAAUUUAAUAAUGAUGAUGCUUAUUGCUCACUAGAGCAUUUAACAGGAUUCAAAGCCACGCCAUUCCUUCUGCCUUUGUCACCCACUGUUAAUAACAACAACAACAACAACAACAACUAUUAUUAUUAUUAUUAUUUUGGUGAAAAUUGCUAUUAUUUUGAUUUAUUAUUUUAGACAUUGAUUGUUGUGAAUCUUUGUUUUAUCUUCCCCAUCUAUGUUUAUACAUGCUUAAUCUCUGAGCUGUAACUGUAUCAAAAGUUAAUUUAUUACUUGUCCUUGUAAUAAUAUUAUCAAGCGAUAGAUUCAUUGAUAACGUCCAGAAUCACUAGAGAAGAAACUACACUUGAUAAUUGCUACUAUAUUUAUAACAAAUAUUGGAACUGAAAGUUUAUGCCCAAUGAUGUUUAGUGUUUAACACAAAAUGUAUCGAGACAGUUAUGCUGUGGUAUUCAGUUCAACACUUGCCUUCCAUCAUCUCUCUUUCUCUCACUAUCUCUCCUCUCUCUCUAAUGCAUACAUAUAGACACUCAAAUGUUGGUGGCCAAUCUUGUUGGUAGGCUUUUGCUGCACACCACUGGCUUAGUAGCUGUCUAUGAUCAUUAAAAUUUUGUAAGCCAUGAGAUCUGUGUGCACUCUACAUUUUUUCCCUCUUAUACUUGGAAUUUUACGUGACACGGUUUAUUUGGUUUUGAUAUGAUGCUGUGAGUUAAAUAUUGCUUUGGUUAUCUUAGUGGCUUAAAUUAUUAGUGUUUAACUUUGAUGAUGCAUCAAAACCAAGAAAAUUUAAAUUUAACGGCUAAACUGAAACAUUGCCCAAUGAUGGAACAAACACUACUGAAAGGUCACAUGAUGGUUUUGUUCAUAACUGGAGCCUGCACCACUCUCUCUUUCUCUCACUCAGUCACUUAAUCCCAUUCUCUGUUGUGUGUGUGCGCGCUCAUAUGCCGCACGUGUGUAUAAAUAUAUAUAUAUAUGAAUUAUUAUGUAUCUUCCAGAUGGUGCGUGAAGGCUGUGAAUGAAACUGGUGGGAAAAAGCUGUAGUUUAUUUGUAGUUAAGUAUUAAACCUGAGGGCUGUGUAUUCACUUUUUCUGGUUAAGUGGCUGUAUAAUCGAGGUUCUUUUUUGUUAGCUAUCCCUGUAUGUUAUUGAUUUCAUUUCUUGUUACUUUGCAAGGACAUUGUAUAUUAUUAUUAUUAUUGUUGUUGUUGUUGUUGUUGUUGAGUUUCGAAAGUGAUGUGCAUGCCUAUCCUUCUAUUUUACGCUUCAUUUUUGUUCCAGUGACAGAACAAACAACUGACUAUUGAAUGGUUUCAUGGCUUUGUUUAUAACUGGAUGUGAACAACCACCUUCUUUGUCUGCAUCGUCAUCACGAUCCUCUCUGCUGGUUGUAAAUUGUGCACAAAGAAUGUGGGUAAAGCUUGCUGCAAAAGCUGUAUAUGAAUUUGCUUUUGGCCAUGAGAUCCGAGGGUGGGUUGUGUUCUAUUUUCAUCUCACCUCCCCACCACCCCAAAAUUAAUUGGGUGCAAAAUCAUUUUCUUUUAAAGAGCCUUCCCGACUCCCGAGAACAGAUUAUCAGAAAAUUGUGCAUUGCACUUAUGACUCUUAUUUUUCUUUACUCUGAUCUGAUCAUCAUGGCUGGAUGCUUUAUUUUGUUCCUUGUUUGGAACUGCUCAUUUGCAUAGUUAUUAGUUCUUUUUUUGCCAUGGCCUUAUGCUUAUACCGUCAAUAUUCCAUAACAUUAGCUUGUUUAUCUAAUAUGCUUAUACCACAUUUGUGAAUUGGUGAUUUAUGUUGCGUUGAUGCUUAAAUAAGCAAUACUUUCAAACUUGGACUGAGUAAUUCGGAUGCAUCAGCUAUAGUUUCAGUUUGAUUAGGUGUUUAUAGGUGAGUAUAUCUACACGACUACACGUGUCUCAUUUAUUUGUUCUUCUAAAAACCUAAAAGCUAUAUUUUGUCCAGAUCAUUUGGUGCAUCUUUUAAGUAACAAAAUUUUCCAACAUUUUACCCGAUGUCAUAACCACUUUUUGAUGUGCCCAGUGAUGUAAUAUUUCGACAUGAUGCAAAGCCUCUCCAGCCCUUUCCUCUCUUCCAACUUCCAUCAUUAAGUAAG